CCGGAGGAGCACAAGAUCAUCCAUUACCAGGGAGGACAACAGGUACAGCCGUCAGAGGAAGUCCAAGGGACAUGACGAAGGUUAUCACAUGCACAGACGAAGCCAAGAAGCAGGAGAAGUAUCUCCACCAGAGGAAGGCGGUAGCUACGAAAGGGAGAGAACUUCAGAAGAACCAGGUCGCGGCACUGAUCGGUACCAUCACCAUAGGCAUCACACGGAGGGUACAUAUGAGAGCAGAUACUCACACCACAGGGGUCAUCGCAAGCGCAGACGGAGCCAAGAACUGGGCGAACUAUCUCCACCAGAGGAAGACGUUAGCUAUGAAAAGGAGAGAACUUCAGACGAACCUGGUCGCAGCCCUGAUCGGUACCAUCACCAUCGGCAUCACAGGGAGGAUACAUAUGAGAGCAGACACUCUCACCACAGGGAGGAUACAUAUGAAAGCAGACACUCUCACCACAGGGAUCGCCGACGCCAUGGGGACCGGCAUCACUCCAAGAGAAGCGAAAGCCGAGAUUACAGGGACUAGGCCUCCAGUUACCUAUACUACAUCAAUGUUUCAUUAUGUAAACUCUG
rnacentral:lncRNA from 1 species